GACGUAGGGCGCGAGCGUUGUCCGGAUUUAUUGGGCGUAAAGAGCUCGUAGGCGGCUUGUCGCGUCGACUGUGAAAUCCCGCGGCUCAACUGCGGGUCUGCAGUCGAUACGGGCAGGCUAGAGUUCGGUAGGGGAGACUGGAAUUCCUGGUGUAGCGGUGAAAUGCGCAGAUAUCAGGAGGAACACCGAUGGCGAAGGCAGAUCUCUGGGCCAUUACUGACGCUGAGAAGCGAAAGCAUGGGGAGCGAACAGG
rnacentral:rRNA from 1 species